rfam:Ciona savignyi cont_33096, whole genome shotgun sequence.
GGUAGCGUGGCCGAGCGGUCUAAGGCGCUGGUUUUAGGCACCAGUCAUGUCGAUGGCGUGGGUUCGAAUCCCACCGCUGCCA